rnacentral:lncRNA from 1 species
AUCCUUCUGACACAUACGAUAUGACACCCAAAAAUUUUUUAUCUCCAAUCUAAACAGACUCUAAUGCUCCUAUCAGGACAUUUGUCCAUUAGGACGAGACAUACCCGCCUCGCACAAUGCGUGAUUGCACGCGCGUUGUGCCUCGCACGGUCACACCAGACCCACCCCCUCACGCCGCUGACCCCUGUGCUUCCCACCUCACGCCGUGUGCCCCUGUGCCUCCUGUCUCACGCCUUGUGCCUCACGCCUCGCAUGGUCGCACCGGACCCGCCUCAUGUCGUGCGCCCCCUCACCUCCCACAUGUCAUACAAAGGAAUUGAACUAAAUGAGUGGUAUUUAACUGAAGACUAGAUGUAUUGAUACAAGUCACAAAAGGAUAAGUUGAUAUUCAUGAUAUGUAAUGCCUAAAUGGGAUCAACAGUUGCACAGAGCGAUGACUCAUAUAACUGAAGGAAGAACACAAAAGGAACAAGAGGAAAAAAAAUCCUACCUACAUCUUGAGCUCCCUCUCCUAGACAAUGGCAAAGCGUGAGGUAUAAUCAAGGGGGCAACAUUGUAGAUUACUUGUGUGUCACAAAAAAGAUUAGCUCUAAAUCACACAGGUAUACAAGAAGUUUUUGUUGUUCUUUCUAGAAACUAGGCAACGACACACGUCCAGAUAGAAGGUUAAAAAAAGCUAGCAUGCUAUCCAAGGUACUAACAAGGUAAAGUUGAGUGAAUGCAUGCUUUGAGCAAAUGAUUGAUCUGACAAGAGAGACACAAGGUUAUUCGAAAUGAGUUAGCUCUAGACAUUCAUAGACAUGUAUUCAUGUUCUUUCAUACUAAGGGGGGGCAGCCGCCCAGUAUCGCCUCUACGAGGCUCCGCCAGUGCUCCUAGAACAUGCAGGUGCCA